UACGUAGGGUGCGAGCGUUGCCCGGAUUUAUUGGGCGUAAAGGGCGCGUAGGCGGCCACGCACGUCCGUUGUGAAAUCGCCCGGCUCAACUGGGCGGGGUCAGCGGAUACGGUGUGGCUCGAGCAAGCUAGGGGGCAAUGGAAUUCCCGGUGUAGUGGUGGAAUGCGUAGAUAUCGGGAGGAACACCAAUGGCGAAGGCAGCUUGCUGGGCCUUUUCUGACGCUGAGGCACGAAAGCGUGGGGAGCGAACAGG
rnacentral:rRNA from 1 species